AUGGUGCCGCGAGCACCGGCGACCAGAGAAAAAAGUUGCAAUCGUUGUCUAGGAAGCUACUACCGGCGACAUCAAUUUGUUAGCACCAUUCACGGCGGUGACCCGCUGGAAUCAGCGCUGCUACAGCUGUGCUUAUGGGAGCUGCAGCCAUCGAAGCUUUUUCACCGGAGAAUGCUACAACGUUGUCUCGCACAAGCUACAACCAUAUACGCGCAAAGCUGCAAGCGUUGCUUUUUUUGCUACAACCACUGCUACGAACUGCAACCAACAAGCAUCAGGAAGAAGGCGCGUUGCUGGCGAGCACGAGGCCGAGGACGAGCACGGGCGGGGCGCAGGUGGAGGGUGAACGCGGCAACACGGGGGUUAGCUGUGCGAGAUGGGGGAGUGGGGAUGAGGGGGAGGGGCAGCUGCGCUAGAUGCGAAGAGGAAGAAGCUGGGCGAACAGAUUUUUGUUCGUAG
rnacentral:rRNA from 1 species